CAGGUAGGUAAAGUGUUGCAGCUCAGCUCUAUGAAUUCAGCAGCACUGGGCCUAUUUUUUAGGUGUUUAUUGCACAGGGGCCAUUGUAAAACACUGGCCUGAGUCCCAAGCCCUCAGGAGGCUCAGAGGCUCAGGGUUGACUGAUCGCUGGAUUUCACCACAGGCUCCCAGAACGGGGAUUGUUGAAGAAGCUUUUCCUUCCCACUGAGACCCCUGUGGAUUAAGGAUUCCUGGCUUCUGUUGCAAUAAUAAGGCCUCACACACUGCCAAAAGAAAAGACUGCAGCAAAGCUCUGCACUGCUUUAACCGAACAUUCUGUACAUUGUCACAUUUUGCACCUUUAUAAUUUGUUCUUUUUAUUUUGCGAUCUGCUCACGUUGAAAGAGUGCAGUUAAAUCUGUGUUUGCAAUUGAAUAAUCUAAUUCCUGACAUAUUUUCUCCAUGAAUAUGUACUUAAAGAUUGAAAAGGUUGUUGCAUAGGCUCCUGCCCACAUACAGACACCAGUUCAAAUAAACACAUCGGUGUCUACAUACAUUACUGUACAUAUAUAGAUGCCAGUAGCAGCUUUGUAGCAACUAAGAUGCACUGAAAAAAGAUGCAUAUGUUUCCCUUGUUGCUCUUUGCUUGCACUUUAUUACUCACUCAGCACUCUCUGCUGUGAGUGCCAAUAGGUCGAAUCAGAAUGUCAGAGUGAGUCAAGCGCAAUAAAGCUGAAACAAAUCAGAGCCUAUAAAGAUACUAAGAGGGAAGAUGGAAAAGGAAAAGUUUAUAAAAACAACAACUAUAAUGUCUUUUUAAUCAUCUAAACAGCAGUGUCUGCAGCUUCAAUAAAUACAUGAAAUGCUUUCAAACACAGAUAAAAAGAUAUGAACAUAUUUGGUGUUGUUUUUUAAAAAUAUUAGAAUUUCUGUAAAAAUGACAAUAAUAUGUGAAAAUGUUUAAAUAUCAUGUAUAAUGUAUAGAUAUAUAGACUACACAUUGUUGUUAGUGUUUGAUAUUUCAUCUUAUUAUUGAUAAGUCAUACAUUUUUGCAGCCCAACAUCACGGCCAU